AAGUCGUAACAAGGUUUCCGUAGGUGAACCUGCGGAAGGAUCAUUACCGAGUUCUCGAGCUUCGGCUCGACUCUCCCACCCCUUGUGUACCCACCUCUGUUGCUUUGGCGGUGCCGCGGGGCCUGAACCCCUAAAUGCCCGCCAGAGGACCUUUAAAACCCAGUUAGUGAACGUCGACGUCUGAUAAGCAAGUUAAUAAACUAAAACUUUCAACAACGGAUCUCUUGGUUCUG
rnacentral:misc_RNA from 1 species